rnacentral:lncRNA from 1 species
AAUUAUUGCCGGUCCUCCCUUCUAUCACUGCCCUCGCUACCUAUACACUCCCUUCCGUGUCUUUCUCCACUUCCCCCACCCGCGUUCCCCGCGCGGACGGAGCUGAGGGGGCGGGGGCUCCCUCCCGGGAGCGCUUCUAGAGCUCGGAGGCAGCUCGUAGGGGCUUGACAGUCUACAUGUUUAAGUCUACCAGAAAAAAAAAAAAAAAUCACUGGAUAUGAAGUUGCAAUACAGAUCAAAGUCUGCAUCCACAUCCUCACAUUGGUGACCUUGGGGCACCACUUUCAGAUAAAAACAUAGACCUGAAUGGCAUCAUCCAGUAUCCAAGGAAACCAUGUAAGUACCUCUCUCACUGUGUACUUCUCUUAUUCAGAGUUUAAAAGCUAGCUGAGUACUGAAUAAGUGAGUGUUUUUAUUUAAUAAUUAUACGGGAGGUACUUUUUAGGAGUUUGCUAAAAAGAAACAGGUUCUUGAUUGUUAUAUGCAUCAUAACAAAGCUCUUAUGUUUUCAUCAUAUUUUUUAAAAUUAUGUGCUUAGUUCCAACCUCUCCAUCAUUUCUCAUUCUUAGGUACAAAACAGCUACUCAAAGUCCUGAUGAAUUGAGAGUUUCAAACUUUUCUAAGACCCAUUAGUGUCUGAGAAACAAUGUUUCAGAGUCCCUGUGCCAAGAAUAGUUACCUAAUGGUGAUAAAGCUUUUUAAAUUUUAAAAAUUAAGAAAAAUUAUUUGAAAAUAUUAUUUUGUUAGUAAAUAUUUGUAGCAGUUUAUUUGGUUUGAGACUUGCUCGGGGAUUGAGCAAGUGAGCGAAGAGAUGAGAUUAAGUAUUUAAACAACCAAAUCAUCUUGAAAGCAAGUGUAAUUUCCAAAAUGCAAAAAUUUGUUGGACAACAAUUUGAGAGGUUGGCAUAUUAUUUUCAUUCAUUUUUUCUCUUUUUCAUUCAUUCUUUCUCUUUUGCACCCAAUUUAAGGUACAUUUCAGUAGCUAAUAUCAGGGCCCUAAUUAAUUUUCAGAAAUGAUGGAAUCUACUAUGGAAAUUCAGCUUUAAAAUAACAUAGUGUUCUAGAGAUAGAUCUAUUUCUAAAAUAUUUGGAUUAUUCUAUCAAGUAUUUCUUUACUUGGACUUUAUUAUUUUCUCAUAUUUGAACUUUCUACUUUUGAUAUAAAAUUAUUUUCAAUAUUAAAUUAUUAUUCAUUAUAGUUUACUUUUUUUUUUUGUCGUUUAUCUUUUUUUUUUUUUAGGGCCACACCCACAGCAUAUGGAAGUUCCCAGGCUAGAGGUUGAAACAGAGAUACAGCUGCUGGCCUAUACCACAGCCACAGCAACACAGGAUCACAGCCUCCUCUGAGACUUACACUGCAGCUCACAACAAUGCUGGAUAUUUAACCCACUGAGAGAGGCCAGGGAUCGAACCUGCAUCCUCAUGGUUACUAGUCAGAUUCAUUUCCACUGCUCCACAACAGGAACUCCAUAGUUUACUUUUUAAUAAAAAUUCUUAAACAUAUACUCAUAUAAUUAUAGGCCUCUUUUUCUUUUUACCAUCUGGAUCAGCUAAAUGGUCUAUCUAGUUUUUUUUUUUUUUUGGUCUUUUCUAGGGCUGCACCCGCAUAUGGAGGUUCCCAGGCUAGGGGUCUACCUAAUUGGCGCUGUAGCUGCUGGCCUACGCCACAGCAACGUGAGAUUCGAGCCGGGCCUGUGACCUACACCAAAGCUCAUGGCAAUGCCAGAUCCUCAGAUCCUGCAAGGCCAGGGAUCGAACCCACAACCUCAUGGUUCCUAGUUGGAUUCGUUAAUCACUGAGCCAUGACGGGAACUCCUGGUUUAUCUAGUUUUUUUUAAAAUGCAGACAUAUUACUUUUCAUUAGGGUUUUCAGGAGCUGCAUUUAAGUGCAACUGGUUCAGACUUGUGGUUUGGGAGUUUUUCAUAUUAUUUGGGUUUACUUUUGUUACUGUUGUGUUUCUCUCUUUCUACUGCAUCAUGAUUCCUUGCUAAGUAUGAAGGACAGAGGUGAUAUCACUCAGUUUCUCUGCUAAGUUAGACAUACCCUUUACCCAUGAGGAGAACCUGGCUAGGCUAUGAGUGUUUUUUAUGCUAGUUACAAACUUCACAAGUGUGGAGUUGGAGGCCUGACAUACUGCCCUUUGAACCAGGAAUUUCAUCACACAAAAUAAAGAUUGUACCAUUGCUGGGUAAACUUUGAAGCAGAUCAGGGUUAGAAUAGAUCAUUAAAGAAGAAAGACAAUACAAAUUGGAAAGGAAAACUGGCUAAUGUUAUAAUUCCCCAUUUCGAGGAAAUGGAUAUUUUAAUUCAACCUCCUAUACCACAGAAAAAUGACUUAAUAGAAAUAAACUGAUAAAUGAACAUCAGUUCAUCAGUAGUGUUCUAACAAAGAUCAUUAUGCAGCAAAACUUUCUGUGAUGAUGGGCAUGUUCUAUAUCUGCAAGUCCAGUGUGGUAACCAGUAGCCACGUGUCUGUUGAGCACUUGAAAUAUGACUUGUGUGAUGGAGAAAUGGAAUUUUAAUUUUAUUUAAAUUUAAUUACUUUCAAUUUACAUAGGCCAUAUGUAACUAGUGGCCACUGUACUAAUAUUUUGCUUUUAUUGGAAAUUAAAAUACCCUCUUGCAAAGAGUUUUUAAUCUUUUCGUAUGCUAUCAUAUAAUAUACCAAAAGAUUAAUAUUUGCUUUGAUAUUUGAAUUAUCAUUGUAGUGAAAUAUUUUAUAACAUUUCCCAGAGAUGGAUGUUUUUAAUACUGUUGAUGGGAAUACAUAAUAUUGAUUUAUAAGCCUGGGGUAGCAACUUUUAAAGUGGCCAUUGUAAACAAGUCUGUGUUUAAAAAGAAAAACACUUUAAUGAAAGUUCUAAGACGAUAAAUAUUUUGAAAAUACAUUCUUGCAAAUACUUCCUAAAAUGUGACCAGCUUAUACAAAUGCACACGCUGGCCUUGAUUCCCCAAAGUCGAUCCCAAAGCACACAUCAGGUUUUAAACAUGCUCCUAUAGCCUUUUCAGAUAUUUAGUGAAAAUGAGCAUUAGGAUGCAUGAUAUUUUAAUAGUAGUGCUAGUACAGUAAUGUUGUAGACAAAAUAAUUAUCUAAAAUACUGAAAAUUUGAAAUUAAUAUUUUAAAAAUCAGUAAGUCAACUGAUUUCUUAUCCAGGAAAUGGAGGGCAGGAUUUAGAUAAGGUAAGAAGAGAGAAGAGAUUUCUUUAAUCUGAACCUUGGACAAGCUACUCAGAGUAUCCCUCUGACUGCCAAAAAAAAAAAAAAAAAAAAAA